GCAAACUUGGUCAUUUAGAGGAAGUAAAAGUCGUAACAAGGUUUCCGUAGGUGAGUAAUAUCAAUAUUAUCCCCUCCGGUUCCUCGUCCAGUAUAUGCUAACAUUUUCUUUUAGGUGAACCUGCGGAAGGAUCAUUAUCGAGUGAGGGUCUACUAGGCCCAACCUCCCAACCCUUUGUUUACUGAACCAUUGUUGCUUCGGCGGGCCCGUCUCACGGCCGCCGGAGGGGCGCUGAAAGGCGUGUCCUCUGGCCCGCGUCCGCCGAUGGCCAACCACAAAAACUCUGCAUGAACCAUGUCUUAUGUCUAAGUCCACGAUUAAAUAAAGCAAAACUUUCAACAACGGAUCUCUUGGUUCUGGCAUCGAUGAAGAACGCAGC
rnacentral:misc_RNA from 1 species